rnacentral:lncRNA from 1 species
GUUUUUUUCCAUAUGAAACUAUUUAAUUCUUGUGUUAGCCCAAUAUUACUGUAUUGUAGUGAGAUAUGGUCGCUAAAUAUUGUGAAGAACAACAAAACUCUUGAAUCUCAAUAUUUAUCUAUGGAAUCAGUAAAACUCCAAAUCAAAUUUGCGAAAGGUCUUCUAAAUGUUAAUUCAAAGGCAGUAAAUACAGCUGUAUUAGCUGAAUUGGGAAUGUACCCUAUUGGUAUACAGGCCCUUAAGUCUUCUGUAGGAUUUUGGUUAUAUAUUUAAAGUCAAAUGAAAAUGAGUCAUUAUUAUAUAAUGUUUAUAAAGCUAACAAGCAGUUAAAUGAUGGAUUUGCUUCAAAAGUUAAA